UGGUUAAAGGAGUCCGGUGAAACAGCAAAAUCUCUCCUCGUGUGCCAUUUGGCCCGGAAGAGGGGAGGACUAAGGCUGUUUUGCUCUGGACCAAGACGGGAAAUCAAUACUUUAGCGGUAUUUCACGGUAAUGUAGCAUCGUCAAUCGGUUACUGCAUGUAUGGAUGAUGCUCGACCACGGAAUGUAUCG
rnacentral:rRNA from 1 species